rnacentral:lncRNA from 1 species
ACUCCUACAGAAAAGGAGGAUUCCCAGAGCUCUCUGACUGGAUCUCCUGUAGCCCAGGCUGGCCUUGGUUUUGCUAUGUAAUGACCUUGAGCCUCUGAUUCUCCUGCCCCCGCCUCCUGAAUAUUGGGAUAGCAGGCAUUUAUUAACACAGCUGUUUUUAUCACAGUGCUAGGGACAGACAGAGCGCAGGCCUGCAGGCCUUGUGCAGUUAGGAACCUGAGAGGAGACCAGCCACGUUGAAGGUCGAAGGCAGGACUUCCCUGGCCCAGGCUUUUGGGCGGCGCCCGCCUAGGAGGAGCCUGCCACCCACUGGGAGCGAGCGGUACUGCAGGCGCAGGUGCUGGAGACCCACCCCCUACCCAAUCCUUUGCCUGAUUUAACUCUGCCCAAAGGGUUCUUGUCCUCAUGUGACUUACAGUCUAUGGAACUGACAAGAGCGACAGAAAUCCCGGUAGCAGCUGAACAGCCUUGGAUCUCUCUCUCUCUCUCUCUCUUUUUUUUUUUUUUGGAUGGGAGGAUUUUUUAAAACAACACAAAUAUUAUACAUUCAUAGCCGAAUAUUUAAAAAGAAAAAAAGCCCAGAUAUAGCUUUCCUCACACAUGUGCAUAGCAGCUACACAAACUGUAGGCAGCCUUUCCGUUUAAAAAAUGUUUAAAUACAAUGUGGUAGG